AACUAGUGGUAACAAAGCAGUUACUACUUGAGUAUGUUACUGAUAAGCAGGCAGAACUCAGAUUACGUAGAAAAUGUCCUUUUUCUACGUAGUCUGAGUUUUUUUUCUAGAAAGGAGUAUU
rfam:Clostridium paraputrificum strain 373-A1 CP373A1_27, whole genome shotgun sequence.